rnacentral:rRNA from 1 species
AUGGCUAGUGGAGAGGCGGAUCCACCGCCGGCCACGAAGCCAUCAACUCCAAUGACCCCCGGACAGCGAAGCUUCACACAGAUGGCCGCUGAGACGAUUCCACCUACUGCCGAACAGGGAGGCGACUCUUGCAUCCAUGGAUCACCACGAUCUACUCCAGAUUGGUCUCGGCGGGUGGCUAGUAAUGAUUCAUAUGUAUCAACUAUGGUAGGAAGUGUUGAUUGGUCCCAGAUUGAGAUAGCACCAAUGAAUGAUGACGAAAUUGAUGUUCCUAUAACAGAAGAGAACAUGUGCUCGGUGCUUGGCAUCAAUGACGAACCUGAGCAUCGGAAAAUUGUAUCUGAAGCAGCCAUGAAAGCCUCCAUUGCAGAUGUUGAUGCAUGUGUGGCUGAUAUUGAUGAGGAUUUACUUGCUGAUGCGGCUCUUCCUGUGCCUGACCAUAUGCCUGAAGAGGAUCACUUUUGGUAUGAUAAGAAACAUCCUGUGAUAGAGGAAGGAUCUUUGUUUCGUUCAAUGAACGAGUUUAGGAUGCUCAUCAGAACAUUUGCUAUUAGAGGCAAGUUUGACAUCAAGAUCAAGGAUAGUGACACUACUAGAUUUUUGGGUCACUGUAAAGGAAAUGCAUGUCCUUGGAGAAUAACUGCUAGGACAAUAGAAGAUGGAAAAACAGUCAGGGUUAACAAGAUAGUAAAGCCUCAUAAGUGUUCAUCAACCGCUGCAGUGACAACAAGCAUGGCAGACCAAGCAUGGGUGGCAGAAAAGGCAAUGGGGUAUAUUCAAACUGAACCAAACAUUGGUGCCAGCGAGCUCCGAAAAAAUCUACAAGCCGAGUACAAAUGUACUAUUGGGUAUCAUACUGUUAACAAGGGAAAAGAAAGGGCCAAGAAUAGUUUAUAUGGGACCUGGGGAAAAAGCUUUCAGUCGUUAUUGAACUUCAAAGCUGAGAUUGAUAAAAGAUCUCCCGGUAGCAUUGUCGAGGUUGAUGUCAAGAGGGAAAGAGGUGAAGUGCAUUUUCGCAGAUUUUUUAUGGCACUUAAGCCGUGCAUUGAUGGCUUCUUGGCUGGUUGUAGACCAUAUGUCAGUGUAGACUCCACAUUUUUGACUGGAAAGUGGAAUGGUCAAUUAGCAGCAUGUACAGCACUAGAUGGACAAAAUUGGAUGUUUCCUUUAGCAUUUGGUUUCUUUGCUACGGAGACCGAGGAUAACUGGAUUUGGUUUAUGCAACAACUGCAUAGGGCAAUAGGACAUCUUCAAACUCUAGCUAUUUGUACUGAUGCAUGCAAAGGGUUAGAGAAUGCAGUUAAAAUUGUGUUUCCUCAAGCUGAGCAAAGGGAGUGCUUUAGGCAUCUAAUGGCAAACUUCAAAAAAAAGUUUCAUGGAGAUGUUUUUGGUCGCAUGUGGCCAGCAGCCAAGGCUUAUCGUCUGGAAACAUUUAACUAUCAUAUGGCCAAGAUAUUUGAAGCUGAACCUGCAGUGAGUGUCUACUUGUGUACCUAUCAUAACUUAAAGUGGAUGAGAUGCGACUUCAACACAGAAAUAAAAUGUGAUUACAUUCACAAUAAUCUAGCCGAGUGCUUCAAUAGCUGGAUCAAAGGAACAAAAGAGCUGCCCAUGGAUGAGCUAGCCGAUGCAAUAAGAGAGAAAAUUAUGAUACUUGUUUAUAGAAGGAGAAGGAUUGGGGAAAUGCUUCAGGGAGAGAUAUUGCCUGCCAUCAUUCAACAAAUAAAUAAUAGAACUAGGCAACUUGACCAUUUGGUUGUUGGAAGAUCAACGGGAGAAAGUUGUGAGGUGAAGGACACUAGCAAAAAUAAUCUUAGGCAUGUUGUGAAGAUAGGCAGCCGUGAGUGCACUUGCCUAGAAUGGCAACACACUGGAAAGCCCUGUGAGCAUGCACUUGCAUUCCUUAUAGAGACGGCAGAUGUAAAUUUUCAUCCAUAUGUACAUGAGUACUACUCCGUGAGUAGGUUCCGGGCUGCCUAUGCUGGAGAGAUUGAACCAAUCACAGACAAGUCUCAAUGGCCUCAUGUUAAUAUAGAUUUUGAAAUGGUGCCACCGGUUUUAAAGAGCUCUGUUGGGAGACGGAGGAAGCAGAGAAUCAAAAGUUGCCUUGAAGAAGGUGGUGGUGGUGGCAGCAAACGGAAGAAAAAAGAUGAUAAUGGCAAAACAAAUAGCCAAGAAGGAGGUGAGAAAGAGAAGGAAAAAGAAAAGAAGAGAUUUGGCAGUAAAAAUAGGUGCAAAGAAUGUGGGAUAUUGGGGCACAGGAAAGCAACUUGCAAACAAAAUGAAGCUAAAAAGAGUGACGUGUCUGCGCAUGAGCUCGCUCCAGUUGUUGUUGCGACACCUACACGCACAACAACAAUAACACUGCCUCCCAGCCUUCAUAACAGCCCUGGGCCUAUCACAAGGAGGAGGCUUGCUAUGGCCAUAGCUGGAGACGAUGCAUCACAGCCAUGUGGGACAACUAUUGAUUCUGUAGCAUCACCUACUUCUCACUUCCCUUCACGCUCUACAACAUGCAAGAAAAAGUUGACCCCAAAGAGGAAGAAGCUCUAA